CCCAUCUUAGAAUCGCACCUGGAGAGUUUCCAGAACUCUACCAGUUUCGGUAACAGGAGGGAGAAUCAAGCAGAGGCCUACCCAUUCCAUUCCUUGCUUGGACAGUGGCUAGCUAGUGGGAGGCAAUCUGAAACAUUA